ensembl:lncRNA
AAAAUGAUAGCUGCAUCAUUCAGUUGGGGGAACAUUUGUUGAACAAAGGUGGAUCAACUGCAAAACAUGAAGCAUGCAUACGACAGAAGUUGCGAGAACUAGGAAAACUACUUAUCACUGGCAGAAACGUUGCAUCUCUAAAGACAAUGGACGAUUUUAUACAUCCUCAAAACUACAUGAAGAUGGUUCAAGCUGUCAGACAUACAUGUGGAUAUGAUAGUGAAGCCAACACAUACAAAACUCCUUCUCUAGCAAAAAAACUUGGAAUAAGCCUGAUGAAGCUCAGCAAACUCAUGAAAGCUAAAGCUUUGAUUGCGGAAGACCACUGCUUGGCACAGAAUUUCAGUAACUUCCAAGAAAUACAUAAAGAACGGUGGUGUGAACUGAUCUCUGCAACAGCAGCACGAAAUCUUGAGGAGUCAAAGUGGAAUGCCCCCACAGUGUUGCCUUUUACAGAAGAUGUGCAAAAACUUCAUGCAUUUCUCAAUAAAAUGCAAGAUGAGUUGAUCAAGCAGUUAUCAGCGGAGCCCACAUCAAAAUACUGGUCUGAGCUUGCAAAGGUCGCUUUGACUCAAAUCAUCCUCUUUAACCGUCGUAGAGAGGGAGAGGUAUCGUGUAUGCUCCUGUCUGCUUUCUUAUCCAGGGACAGCAGUGAUCCACAUGAUGAUAUAGAUUGGGCCCUCUCUGAAGUUGAGAAAAAACUCUGCAGGCACUUUUCCAGAAUUGUGAUCAGAGGAAAAAGAGGACGUCCAGUUCCCAUUCUGCUGACCCCUAAAAUGCUGAAUGCAGUAGAGUUGCUUGUGAAGAACAGGGAGACUUGUGGAGUGCUGAAAGACAAUGUUUAUCUCUUUGCCCGGCCAUCAGCAAUGUCACAUUACAGAGGAUCAGAUUGUAUCCGCAGCUUUGCGAAGUCUUGUAAUGCAAAUAGUCCUGAUGCACUGACAUCCACAAAACUGCGAAAACAUGCUGCCACUCUUUCUACAGUUCUAAACUUGAAGGACACAGACAUGGAUCAGUUAGCAAACUUCCUGGGACAUGACAUCAGAAUUCAUAGGGAGUACUAUCGCCUUCCUGAAAAGACCCUCCAACUUGCAAAAGUCAGCAAAGUUCUUAUGGCAUUAGAACAAGGGAGACUUGCGGACUUCAAGGGCAAGAAUUUGGAUGAGAUCAAUAUUGACCCAAAUGAGGAGAUGGAGCUAAUUGAUGACGAUGAAGGAAGAAGUGAGGUAGAGGAUGAAACAUAUGAAGAACUUGGAGAAGCAAUGCAAGAGGAGUCACCAGAAGCAACACAAGUACCACCACUUGACACUGCACUUAUUUCCCUACCAGAGAGGAAGAAAUCACUGAAGAUACCUUCUGUUAAAGGUGACAGGCUAAUUCUGCUUCUCUCAGUGUGUUUGCCACAAAGCACAAAAGUUUUAAGUUGUUGCUGACUUAGGCCAUGUAAAGAAAAUUACCCUCAUACAGUGUUUUUUUUUUUUGUUUUUUUAAUUAUGAAUGCUUGUGUGACAAUGGUCCAUAGUUAGGACCACAUACCUUAUCAUUAUCAGGUACAGAUAUCUGUUAACGUGGCCGAUAGGUGUACACAGCAACACUGCUGUGCCUGUUGCAUUGGCAUAGGUCAGGGUCACUGGUAUGACAAGUAAAAUGAAACAGUUGGUAUGAAAGCUAUGCUGAAAAAAAUUCUCUCUUAAAAUUGUAGCUGUGGAAACUCACUAAGCAGCAACAAUGGCAGAGCCAGGCAGGACACCUUAUUUCACUGUAUUUCCUACCUGAUUACAUGUCAUCAGAAAAACAGGAACAUCUUCUAAAUCAUCUAAUGUCUUUUAAAUUUUUGCACUGAAUUAAUUAAAGGAAUAGUGUAAUCUAGUAUAAAUAAAAUUGUCAUUCAACACAAAAUAAAGAUAUGAAGUUAAAUCGCCUAAACCUCAUGUUUUAGUGACCACAGUAAACAGAUUUUAUUUUAUUUUUUGCCACUGGUCAUUGCUUAAAUGGACUAUAUGACACAUUUAAUUGUAUUUUUUUUUCUUGAGGUCUACUUAUUACUUGAGUGGUCAAAAUAAUUUCUACAUGACCGUUUCCCAAACUCUUUUUUUUUAAACAAAAUUAAACAGGUUUUUGUUUCUAUGCCUCUAAGAUUGAAAUAUGAUCAGUUAUCUCUGUUCAGAUUAGAUUGUGCUUUGCACCUCAUUCAGAAGUGAAAGACUUUAUAGAACCUCAGUGUAAAUAGGCAGGGAUAAACUGCUGUAAGCUGAGUAGGUUGGUUCCUGUGAUGCAGAACCUGAAUUCAAAACUGGCUGUUCUUGCAGCAUAGUUUCCAUAUAUUAUGGAACCCUGGAGGGGACGGAGGGAAAAAAAAUAAACUUGAGAGAACAUUUUGCAGUUUAUACACACGUUUUUCUUUUAUUUGUGGUUAUGAUUUCUUAAAUCGCUCCCUCAUUUCUUUUAAUCGUGGUCAUGUUUUCUUUUUAACUCAACAUGCGUUAUUUGGUUUUUUGAUUCGUGCACAAAGUAAAUGUAAUAGACACAAGCUGCUAAUAUGUCCCUGAGACUGUCUGACUGGUUUUUAUAUGUUAGAGUGAUGAGAUAAUGAACAGAAAUGCUCAUUAGGUCUGAUUGUGAUUUGGGUAGUUAAGGAAAAGUGUAAGUGUUGAGGAAAGUGUAG